rnacentral:RNase_P_RNA from 1 species
ACGAGCGGCUGGGCGGGCCUCGGGGAGCUCCCGGGGAAGUUCCUCCCUCCUACGGUGGGCCCGGCACCGCGAGGUGCAGGGGGCGACCCCUGGCAACGCCACAGAAACGAGACCCCUCCGGCCGGAUGCGGGAGGACGCGGGCAGACCGUCGACGACGGCCGGAGACCGGAUGAAACGGGCGUCCCGGGCGGAGAAAGGAAGGGGGUGAUGAGCCCCACCGUCGAGCCCCCAAGCCGAGAAGACGGAUCCCGCCUAAAACGGAAGGAGGGCUACGGGCCGCUCGU